GACGAACGCUGGCGGCGUGCUUAACACAUGCAAGUCGAACGGAAAGGCCCUGCUUUUGUGGGGUGCUCGAGUGGCGAACGGGUGAGUAACACGUGAGUAACCUGCCCUUGACUUUGGGAUAACUUCAGGAAACUGGGGCUAAUACCGGAUAGGAGCUCCUGCUGCAUGGUGGGGGUUGGAAAGUUUCGGCGGUUGGGGAUGGACUCGCGGCUUAUCAGCUUGUUGGUGGGGUAGUGGCUUACCAAGGCUUUGACGGGUAGCCGGCCUGAGAGGGUGACCGGCCACAUUGGGACUGAGAUACGGCCCAGACUCCUACGGGCGGCAGCAGUGGGGAAUAUUGCACAAUGGGCGGAAGCCUGAUGCAGCAACGCCGCGUGCGGGAUGACGGCCUUCGGGUUGUAAACCGCUUUCGCCUGCGACGAAGCGUGAGUGACGGUAAUGGGUAAAGAAGCACCGGCUAACUACGUG
rnacentral:rRNA from 1 species